rfam:Ovis aries breed Texel chromosome 7, whole genome shotgun sequence.
UCCCUUGUGCCUCAGACUGUAAAGAACCUGCCUGGAAUGCAGGAGACCCAGGUUGGAUUCCUGGGUUGGGAA